rnacentral:rRNA from 1 species
GCAAGUCGAGGGGUAUAGUUCUUCGGAACUAGAGACCGGCGCACGGGUSCSUAACGCGUAUGCAAUCUACCUUUUACAGAGGGAUAGCCCAGAGAAAUUUGGAUUAAUACCUCAUAGUAUCUUCGAUCCGCAUGGAUUGAUUAUUAAAGUCACAACGGUAAAAGAUGAGCAUGCGUCCCAUUAGCUAGUUGGUAAGGUAACGGCUUACCAAGGCAACGAUGGGUAGGGGUCCUGAGAGGGAGAUCCCCCACACUGGUACUGAGACACGGACCAGACUCCUACGGGAGGCAGCAGUGAGGAAUAUUGGUCAAUGGGCGCAAGCCUGAACCAGCCAUGCCGCGUGCAGGAUGACGGUCCUAUGGAUUGUAAACUGCUUUUAUACGAGAAGAAACACUCCUUCGUGAAGGAGCUUGACGGUAUCGUAAGAAUAAGGAUCGGCUAACUCCGUGCCAGCAGCCGCGGUAAUACGGAGGAUCCAAGCGUUAUCCGGAAUCAUUGGGUUUAAAGGGUCCGUAGGCGGUUAGAUAAGUCAGUGGUGAAAGCCCAUCGCUCAACGGUGGAACGGCCAUUGAUACUGUUUAACUUGAAUUAUUAGGAAGUAACUAGAAUAUGUAGUGUAGCGGUGAAAUGCUUAGAGAUUACAUGGAAUACCAAUUGCGAAGGCAGGUUACUACUAAUGGAUUGACGCUGAUGGACGAAAGCGUGGGUAGCGAACAGGAUUAGAUACCCUGGUAGUCCACGCCGUAAACGAUGGAUACUAGCUGUUGGGAGUAAUCUCAGUGGCUAAGCGAAAGUGAUAAGUAUCCCACCUGGGGAGUACGUUCGCAAGAAUGAAACUCAAAGGAAUUGACGGGGGCCCGCACAAGCGGUGGAGCAUGUGGUUUAAUUCGAUGAUACGCGAGGAAC